GACGAACGCUGGCGGCGUGCUUAACACAUGCAAGUCGAACGGAAAGGCCCUGCUUGCAGGGUACUCGAGUGGCGAACGGGUGAGUAACACGUGGGUGAUCUGCCCUGCACUUCGGGAUAAGCCUGGGAAACUGGGUCUAAUACCGGAUAGGAGCCAUUUUUAGUGUGAUGGUUGGAAAGUUUUUUCGGUGUAGGAUGAGCUCGCGGCCUAUCAGCUUGUUGGUGGGGUAAUGGCCUACCAAGGCGGCGACGGGUAGCCGGCCUGAGAGGGUGGACGGCCACAUUGGGACUGAGAUACGGCCCAGACUCCUACGGGAGGCAGCAGUGGGGAAGAUUGCACAAUGGGCGCAAGCCUGAUGCAGCGACGCCGCGUGGGGGAUGACGGCCUUCGGGUUGUAAACUGCUUUCGCUAGGGACGAAGCUUUUUGUGACGGUACCUAGAUAAGAAGCACCGGCUAACUACGUG
rnacentral:rRNA from 1 species